rnacentral:rRNA from 1 species
GGACGAACGCUGGCGGCGUGCCUAAUACAUGCAAGUAGAACGCUGAAGCUUGGUGCUUGCACCGAGCGGAUGAGUUGCGAACGGGUGAGUAACGCGUAGGUAACCUGCCUGGUAGCGGGGGAUAACUAUUGGAAACGAUAGCUAAUACCGCAUAAAAUGGAUUAUCGCAUGAUAAUCCAUUGAAAGGUGCAAAUGCAUCACUACCAGAUGGACCUGCGUUGUAUUAGCUAGUUGGUGGGGUAACGGCUCACCAAGGCGACGAUACAUAGCCGACCUGAGAGGGUGAUCGGCCACACUGGGACUGAGACACGGCCCAGACUCCUACGGGAGGCAGCAGUAGGGAAUCUUCGGCAAUGGACGGAAGUCUGACCGAGCAACGCCGCGUGAGUGAAGAAGGUUUUCGGAUCGUAAAGCUCUGUUGUAAGAGAAGAACGAGUGUGAGAGUGGAAAGUUCACACUGUGACGGUAUCUUACCAGAAAGGGACGGCUAACUACGU